AAUGUAUAGCUAAUCUGCCCCUUAGAGAGGGAUAACAGUUGGAAACGACUGCUAAUACUUCAUACUCCUAUAUAAUAUUAAGUUGUAUAGGGAAAAAUUUAUUGCUAAGGGAUGAGGCUGUAUUGUAUCAGUUAGUUGGUAAGGUAAUGGCUUACCAAGACAAUGACACAUAGCUGGUCUGAGAGGAUGAUCAGCCACACUGGAACUGAGACACGGUCCAG
rnacentral:rRNA from 1 species